GACCCACUUUCAUGAAAAUGUAACAGCCUCAGCUCUCCAGAAUUUCAAAUGUCACUGCUGGUAUUUCCAUAGAUCUGAUACUAAUGGAUGACUUUCAGCUGAGGAACUUUAAGUGCUUUACAGAGGCCACUGAAUUUCAUCCAGCAAUUCCUGCAUGAGCCCAAUAACUGUUGGGGCCAUGAUUUGAUUUAUAAGAAGAUGUCCAGAUGAUGGAGAUUUCACCACAUCCCUAGAUGAAUUCUUCCAAUGGUCAACCAAUCUCCCUGUUAAAAAAGCCAUCUUAUUCCAGUUUGAGCUUCACCAACUUAAGAAAGGUGCUUGUGGCCUGCAGACAGAUGUUACUGUCUUGUGACCGGUUAGACCCAGGCAGAGGAGAGAAUUCCAGGAGACUCACUCAG